GAUUAACGCUGGCGCCGUGCCUAAUACAUGCAAAUCGAGCGAACGGACGAGAAGCUUGCUUCUCUGAUGUUAGCGGCGGACGGGUGAGUAACACGUGGAGAACCUACCUAUAAGACUGGGAUAACUUCGGGAAACCGUAGCUAAUACCGGAUAAUAUUUUGAACCGCAUGGUUCAAAAGUGAAAGACGGUCUUGCUGUCACUUAUAGAUGGAUCCGCGCUGCAUUAGCUAGUUGGUAAGGUAACGGCUUACCAAGGCAACGAUGCAUAGCCGACCUGAGAGGGUGAUCGGCCACACUGGAACUGAGACGCGGCCCAGACUCCUACGGGAGGCAGCAGUAGGGAAUCUUCCGCAAUGGGCGAAAGCCUGACGGAGCAACGCCGCGUGAGUGAUGCAGGUCUUCGGAUCGUAAAACUCUGUUAUUAGGGAAGAACAUAUGUGUAAGUAACUGUGCACAUCUUGACGGUACCUAAUCAGAAAGCCACGGCUAACUACGUG
rnacentral:rRNA from 1 species